rnacentral:rRNA from 1 species
UACGGAGGAUCCAAGCGUUAUCCGGAAUUACUGGGCGUAAAGAGUUGCGUAGGCGGUUAAGUAAGUUAGUAGUGAAAGCGUGGGGCUCAACCUCAUAACCAUUACUAAAACUGCUUUGACUAGAGCAUGAGAGAGGUGGCUGGAAUUCCCUGUGUAGGAGUGAAAUCCGUAGAUAUAGGGAGGAACACCGAUGGCGUAGGCAGGCCACUGGCUCAUUGCUGACGCUCAGGCACGAAAGCGUGGGGAGCGACCGGG